ACCGCGAUCCCGUAGGAGGCGUCCCUUUUGGAAAUGCGCACGGAAGUCGUAGUUGUCACCGCCCAACAGGUGGCAAAGGAGAACGUAGCUGGGUGGCCAUAUUUGAAGUGGGUGAAGGCUUCGAUGAAAGAGAAAGAGAAGUUACAGGCCGUAAGCGGAUCUAGAAAUGAGGUGAGGGUGUGGACACAGUGGAGAAGGUAGAUGAUCUUAAAGAAGGAGGAAGAUAAGAAGGGAUAAAUAAACAACUGGGAA